CAGAUUCAUCAAGAGAGGGCUGACGCCCCGCCAACCUGCUGUUUGAGCAAGGUGGUUAUUCCGUAAGGAAGAUGUGGCUUAUUCAGCAACCUCAAGCGUCACC
rnacentral:ncRNA from 1 species